UACGUUACGCCAUGACACGUAACGUACAGCGUCGGAGGGGUCCGUUUUUUCAACUUUUCUCCAAUACUAUAGAGCCAUUACCAUGUCAAUCAACGCUUGAAUAGAAACCUAGUUCACACCCCAGAUUUUGAUGUCAACACAGUUGCUACAGUCCCAUUAGUUUUCUUUGCAGCCUCCUUUGAAUGUCGUGGUUGCGCACAUUUGUAUGGAAUGGGGUUAGUGUACUUUAGCUAGUGCUUUUGUUCGUUGUUGAACCUCACAUGACUUCAUGAUGUGAGCGCGUGCUGCUCUCUCACUGACAUGACUCAGCUGAGCUGCCUGCAGCAGCAGCAAAAGCUCUCUGUCUCAACCAUAUGAGGGGUGAUAAGUGCCAGAAUUAAGCCUAGGCAACCGUACUACCGUGUGGCUGUCGCCUACCAUUGAACGUCUGACUGACAUGACACGAUAUUAACGUCUGCGUGACGCCUGCGUGUAACUACCAUGACGUCAUACCAACGCCUUAUUUCCUGUUAUCGCUAAUGGCCUAGAAAAGAUGAUGUCCAAUCUACAGGUAAUCUGUCUUUCCCUCAACACCUCAUGGUAUGUUAUCUUAUCUCAUGGUAUACAGAUCUAAAUGUUGUUAGCCAAUCACAGACUGUGUUGUUACCAGUUCCCAGUAGCCUACAUCAGACAACCAAUAAGAGUUGUGUCCGUGGCGUUCAGUCGAAUGGAGUUCAUAUGCCUUCCCAGCGGGUCCGUGCUAUUCGGGACCCUUGGGAUGUCCCUACCUCUAUCAAGUAUGUAAAAUGGUUACGUUUAGUGUUGAGGGUUAUAAUUUAGGGUUCAGGGUAGGGAUGUCCCUACCUCUAUCAAGUAUGUAAAAUGGUUACGUUUAGUGUUAAAGGUUAUAAUUUAGGGUUUAGGGUUCAGGGUAGGGAUGUCCCUACCUCUAUCAAGUAUGUAAAAUGGUUACGUUUAGUGUUAAGGGUUAUAAUUUAGGGUUUAGGGUUCAGGGUAGGGAUGUCCCUACCUCUAUCAAGUAUGUAAAAUGGUUACGUUUAGUGUUAAGGGUUAUAAUUUAGGGUUUAGGGUUCAGGGUAGGGAUGUCCCUACCUCUAUCAAGUAUGUAAAAUGGUUAUGUUUAGUGUUAAGGGUUAUAAUUUAGGGUUUAGGGUUCAGGGUAGGGAUGUCCCUACCUCUAUCAAGUAUGUAAAAUGGUUAAGUUUAGUAUUAAGGGUUAUAAUUUAGGGUUUAGGGUUCAGGGUAGGGAUGUCCCAAGGAAUCCGGGUAGCAGUGACUUUUCAUAGUGAGAGAUGGACUUGGUAUUUGAGAGCUCGGGGGUGACACAGACGGUCAUUUAAAAAAAAAAUGUUUUACAAGAAGCAGACGUGAGUUAAUGACCCAGAUAGUUUCCUUCGAGACGAUGAAAAUAAUUACCAAGAUGUCCUUGAUCUGAUUUAGGAGUAAGAAGGCUAUAUUUAAGUUGUGAUAUCGUUAGGAAAUAUUUAGGCCUACUGUAUUGAAAAGGCAAAUCCUUUUGGUUGAUAAUGAGUUGAUAACGUAUUGUCGAAAGCACGUAGUUAAUAUUAUUUAACUGUGUCGAUAGGGGAGUGGGAUAGUGUAUAAUAAUAACGUAAUUUUAUGUUAGUAUUGUUUAUUUCAUGGAUUAAAUUUUAAAUGAAAAGAUGCAUAUGUAUAUAUAUAUAUAUGCUAUAGGAUAUACGUAUACAUAUUUGACAUUGUAAUACACUACUCCUACUUGCCAUUGUGUGCUGGAGCUAUGGGUUUAUUUUUCCACUGUCACUAGACCUACACAUUUUACACUCGAACUGAAUUGAAUGGGGGAUGCAUACGUACUUUUUACUGAAGGGAAACGUAGUACAACAUACGACUUUGAUCGAAGACCUAAAUUCAUGCCUGACAAGACCAAUGAAAUCAUAACGGUGUCCUAAUAUAGUGUGGAUACAGGAGUAGCCUAAUCUACAAUAAUGUAACUAUGUGCUAGUAUUAUUUAUCUAAUUGAUAGAUGAAAUUGUAAAUGUGGAUGGGUACGCUACUUCAUUCAAUGAUUACGGUAUUGUACAAGGUAGAUACAGGAGUGGUCUAUAGUCUACAAUAACGAUGUCAUUGAAUGUGCUAUACUAUAAGUUAUUUAAUUGAUGAAUGACAUUGUAAAUGGAGAUGGGUAGGUCACUUCAUUCUGUGAAUAAUGAAUGUCUUGCUAUCUCUGGGAGUAUGUUAAUGAAGGCUUUUCAGCUGUUGAACUAUGUCAAAGUCGAACUAAUUUCUAAAUCUAUCUUUUAGUCAAGAAGUGAUGAGUCAGAGCAACCAAUCAGCUUCACUGCAGAUGUUCUACCCAUACCCCCCCCCCCCCACUGCUCUCCCUCCACUAGCAACCACAUCCUCUUCUCCUGUUCAUUUGCCACCACACUGAAAAGCUCUGUGCCCAUCUCAUUGCAACAUGAUCAAUCCAAGGCCUCAACUGGACGCCUAAAAUGUGAGAAAUGUAAACGAGGUGCUACAGUUGUGUGUGUGUGUGGGGGGGGGGAUAAUCCUUUUAGGUUGUAGAUAGCAUCUUACUCAUGUCGGCUACGGAGAGCGUGAUCACACAGUCGUCCAGAACAGCUGAUGCUCUCACGCAUGGUUCAGGACUGAGUUGCUCAUCUCAAAACUACUGAAACAUGGCAUCGCCAUCAUGGACAUGAGAGGGCAAGGUUAUGACAACGGGGUGAAUAUGCGUGGGAGGCACAGCAGAGUUCAAAAGAAAGUGUAGGAUAUCAAUUAGAGGGCCUUUUUUUGUGCCAAGCAGCGCUGAACCUGGUUCUGUCUGAUGCAGCAUCGUGUUGCUUCGAGGCGGCUGAGUUCUUUUGAACACCAUCCAAGAGAUUUAUACAUUUUUAUCCGGAUCUACACACUGCUGAGGCCUUGCUGAAAGAGCACGUAAAAGAUGGACUCAGUGAAACCCCUCAUCGCCAUGAGAUGGGAGAGCCGGGUGAAACCACUCAUCACCACGAGAUGGGAGAGCCGGGUGGAGGCUGUGAAACCACUCAUCACCACGAGAUGGGAGAGCCGGGUGGAGGCUGUGAAACCCGUGCGUUGCCAACUUCUGGGAGAUUUAUGAUGCCCUGUUGUCGAUCGCCACCGACACCAAGCUCACAGGCAGCUGUGGUGCUAAAACAAGGUUGGGGGCAAACAGCAUUGCUGCCAAGAUGAACAACUUUGGGCUUCAUGUGCGCAGUGGUCGUUUGGUAUGACAUCUUGUUCGAAGUGAACAUCACCAGUAAGAGUUUGCAGGCAGUGAGUUUUAACCUUUCACUAGCAGUGGCUCAAUAUAACUCAACCAGGGUAUUCCGCCAAGACUACCGCUCCGAUGCAGCUGGCGCAUUAGCAAGCGCAGAAGAGUUGGCAGAGGAGAUGGGUAUUGAGCCCUGUUUCCCAGGGCAGCCCACGGUCCGUCCCAGGAAGAAAAGGAAUCUGUUUUGUUUGGCUACGAGGGAGAGGAUGAGCCUGUGACUGACCCUCAGCAGAAAUUAAAAGUAUAUUUCUUUAAUCAGAUUCUAGAUUCUGCUAUCCAGUCCGUCAACGAACGCUUUACGCAGCUUGAAGAGCACGGCAGUGUUUUCAGCAUCCUGUACAACAUCCCGACCAUCAAGGACAUGGACACUGCAGCACUUACCAGGGACUGUGCAACACUGGAGACGGCCCUUACAUAUGGGGAUUCUAGGGACAUUGAGGCAAAAUAUCUGUUUAAUGAGCUCAAAGUCUUGAGCAAGAGACUGGACUGUGAGGCAAAACCACUGGACGCACUUGAGUACAUAUCCAGACACCAUAUGGCCUCCUUAUAUCCCAAUGCCUUUGUUGCCCUGAGAGUUCUUCUCCCACUCCCAGUGACAGUGGAGAGCGCACAUUCUCCAAGCUCAAACUCAUCAAAAACUACCUGUGCUCUACUAUGAGUCAAGAGAGACUCGCCACCAUAUCAAUUGAGCACAAGUUGUCUUACAAAAUUCAACCUCCAAGAAGCAGUGCAUGCUUUUGCUGCCUGGAAGGCCAGGCGAGUCAACUUGUCUGAAUAGAAGAGACCAGAUCUCUCUCAUCAUUACUCAAUGCCUAGGUUUACCUCCAAUGUCCAAUGUACUCGCAUCCUACCUUGGAGAGCGCACAUUCUCCAAGCUCAAACUCAUCAAAAACUACCUGUGCUCUACUAUGAGUCAAGAGAGACUCGCCACCAUAUCAAUUGAGCACAAGUUGUCUUACAAAAUUCAACCUCCAAGAAGCAGUGCAUGCUUUUGCUGCCUGGAAGGCCAGGCGAGUCAACUUGUCUGAAUAGAAGGACCUAGGGGUUCUGCCCAACACCCAGACCCACCUGAUGUCCUCCAUUACCUGUUCUCCAGGACCUGGGGGGUUCUGCCCAACACCCAGACCCACCGGAUGUUCUCCAGGAUCUAGGGGUUCUCCCCAACACCCAGACCCACCUGAUGUCCUCCAUUACCUGUUCUCCAGGACCUGGGGGUUUCUGCCCAACACCCAGACCCACCGGAUGUUCUCCAGGACCUAGGGGUUCUCCCCAACACCCAGACCCACCUGAUGUCCUCCAUUACCUGUUCUCCAGGACCUGGGGGGUUCUGCCCAACACCCAGACCCACCGGAUGUUCUCCAGGACCUAGGGGUUCUCCCCAACACCCAGACCCACCUGAUGUCCUCCAUUACCUGUUCUCCAGGACCUG